rnacentral:rRNA from 1 species
AACGCUGGCGGCGUGCCUAACACAUGCAAGUCGAACGGGAAAGUGGAGCAAUCCACGAGUAUAGUGGCGACCGGGUGAGUAACACGUGACUACCUGCCCUUGAGUGGGGGAUAACCUUGGGAAACCGGGGCUAAUACCGCAUAAAAUCGAAAGAUCAAAGGAGCAAUCCGCUUUUGGAGGGGGUCGCGGCUGAUUAGCUAGUUGGUGAGGUAAUGGCUCACCAAGGCGAAGAUCGGUAUCCGGCCUGAGAGGGCGCACGGACACACUGGAACUGAAACACGGUCCAGACUCCUACGGGAGGCAGCAGUGGGGAAUUUUGCGCAAUGGGGGAAACCCUGACGCAGCAACGCCGCGUGGAGGAUGAAGCCCCUUGGGGUGUAAACUCCUUUCGACCGGGAAAAUUAUGAUGGUACCGGUGGAAGAAGC